CCUACGGGAGGCUGCAGUGGGGAAUAUUGCACAAUGGGGAAACCCUGAUGCAGCGACGCCGCGUGAGUGAAGAAGUAAUUCGUUACGUAAAGCCCUAUCAGCAGGGAAGAAACACUGACCUUACGGUCAGCAGACGGUACCUGAGGAAGAAACCCCGGCUAACUACUGGCCAGCAGCCGCCGGAAUACGUGGGGGGAUAGCGUUAUCCGGAUUUACUGGGGGUAAAGGGAGCGUAGACGGUGCGCCAAGUCUGGAGUGAAAGGCCGCAGCUUAACAGCGGGACUGCUUUGGAAACGGGCGGACUAGAGUGCGAGAGGGGUAAGCGGAAUUCGUAGUGUAGCGGUGAAAUGCUUAGAUAUUGGGAGGAACACCGGUGGCGAAGGCGGCGUACUGGACCCUAACUGACGUUGAGGCUCGAAAGCGUGGGGAGCGAACAGGAUUAGAUACCCUAGUAGUC
rnacentral:rRNA from 1 species